CAGUACUGGCACCAGGCCUGAGGGAGAUGGGGCACUGGCAUCAGGCAGCUCUGGUACCCAGCAGUACUGGCACCAGGCCUGAGGGAGAUGGGGCACUGACACAGGGCGAGUGAGACAAUCCACUGGCACAGAUGAGUCCUUUCAACCAUAUUGGAAGAAGAAGAGUAAGUUACCAGUGAAGAAGUGCAAUAUUAAGGAUGUGAAGAAACAAUCUGGACAAAACCAUGACCGGAAACCAAAGUCAAACUUGGAAAGGGAAGAUUUCCCCACCAUGUAUCGAUGUCAGUAUAAGGGUUGCUGUGCUGUUUACAGAGGAGUUGAGGGACUUAAGAAACACAUAAAAGAGCAGCAUGAAGAGGUGCGUGAAAGACCUUGCCCCCACCCAGGAUGUUCUCGGUGUUUCUGAUUGAUUGCUACCUGCAGUGCCAUGUAAAGCUGAUCCAUACAGAAGAAAGAACAUCUUUAUAGAUCAGGAGGAAGUGCAAAGGCUUUGGUCACAACUUCGGAAAGACAAAGCACAUUUGAUCAACAAUCUUGAAGCAUUUUGAGCUCUAUCGUAUGACCAAGGAUUUAGAGAGAGAGAAGCUGAACAUUUUGAAACAGAUAGACAUCUUGAAAGAGAUUAUGCAUAACCCUAUCCAGGAAGACAAUGUCUCAGGCCUGGUGAGUAAUCAGUGUAAUGACAAUCAGGACAUUGAUGAGGAUGGCAAUGAUGACGUUUCUGAUAAGAAGGACAAUUGCCAUUUUGUUCCCAACCCUGACCAGAUCGAUGUGAUGGUAACAGCAGAGGACACAACUGCAAGGACAACUUUGACAACAAAAUCCCAGAUAUCAAUGACAUGUGCACCGAGAACAGCGCCAUCAGUGAGACUGACCUGAGGAAGUUCCAAAGGGGACGGUGCAGAUCGUUCCUAACUGCAUAAUGCGCAACAAAGGCAGGGGAUUACUACAGACCGCCAACUCUGACCCUGGCCUUGCUGUCGGAUUUGAGGAGUUCAACAUCAUCAACUUCAGUGGCACCUUCUACGUCAACACAGACCACAAUCUAUGGAGGCUUUAUCUUUGGCUUCCAGUCCAGCAGCCGCUUCUACGUGGUUAUGUGGAAGCAGCCCACCCAAACCUACUGGGAGGAGAAGCUGUCCAAACCCAUGGAUACGCUAGCGUCUAGAUCAAGGUGGUGAACCCCACCACGAGCAGAGAGGGGGGGAAGCACCUGCGACUUAAUUGACAACCAUCCUGAUAAUGGUUUAGGGUCCUUGUUUAAGAAACAAACUUUGACAGUAGGGAUCCUUCAUUAUGUUGCUGGCUCUGGAUCUGCACUUCCUGGUGUAUAGGUCUUGCAGGGGGGGGUAAGUGUAGUUCCCAUAGUGCGUUCGGCCGAACGCACUACUCUCUGCAGAGCCUUCCUGUCCUGACCAGAGCUGUUCCCAAACCAGAUUGAAAUGUUACCGGACAAGAUGCUUUCUACAGCCCCAGAGUAGAAGCCAGGGCCGGAUUUAGAUGAAGAGAGGCCCUAAGCUGUUCCACUUGUGAGGCCCCCUCCGCAUUGGUUUUCAGCGCUGGCGGCGAGGCAGCAACUGGACAGCCAUGGCGGCCAAAUCUCCCACAAUUCAAAGCGAGGGAGAAAGUGCCCAGCGCCGACCAAUUGCCGUUGCAGUGCGCAUGCGCAGGGCGGCCGACGAUGUGCUGGCCGUGGUUGUGGGCCUGUGAAGGGGGGAGGACGUGCAGGCCGCAGCAAUGCGCAUGUGCAAGGCGGCCUGCCGUGCCGGCGGAUGAGGAGCAAGCGGAGCCCAGCGGCCCGGACACGGAUAGCGGGGGGAGAUGGAGAUAGAGAGAUAGAGAGGGGGGCCCGCCCAGAGUUGAACGGUAGGUGUCCUAUCUUGGUCGGAGCCCCCCCUAGACCUCGAGGCCCUAAGCUUAAGCCUCUAGCUUUUAGGUAAAUCCGGCCCUGGUAGAAGCACUCGAGGAUCCUCAGAGAGACUCUGAAUUUCCUCAGUUGCCUGAGGUGGUAAAGGCGCUGCAUUUGCCUUACUCACCAGUGCAGCAGUGUGUGUUGUCAAUGUCAGAUCCUCCGUGAUGUGGAUUCCCAGGUAUUGUAAGCUGCUCACCCUAUCCACAGCAGUCCCAUUUAUCUCCAGUGGCAUGUACUUCCUCAGAUGUUGAGUCUUUCUAAAGUCCACAAUCAGCUCCUUAGUUUUUGUGACAUUCAAGAGGAGGCUGUUGUCCUGAGACCAGAGUGCCAGAUCAGCCAUCUCCUCCCGGUAGGCCUUCUCAUCGUUAUUGGAGAUCAGGCCCACCACCACAGUGUCAUCAGCAAACUUGAUGAUUGAGUUGGAGCUGAACCUGGCCACAAAGUCAUGUGUGUACAGGGAGUACAGUAGGGGGCUAAGGACGCAACCCUGGGGGGAUCCUGUGUUCAGGGUGAGGGGGUUGGAGGUAUGUCUCCCCAUCUUGACCACCUGGGGCCUGGCGGUGAGAAUGUCCAGGACCCAGGCACACAGGGGAGUGUUCAGCCCCAGGUUCAGCAGCUUAUCAGCAAGUCUGGUGGGGACUAUGGUAUUGAAAGCUGAACUGAAAUCAAUGAACAGCAUCCUCACAUAGCCCCCCUUCUGGCUGUCAAGGUGAGAGAGAGUGAUGUGCAGAGCCUGGGAGACCGCAUCAUCCGUGGAUCUGUUCGGAUGGUAUGCGAACUGCAGCAAGUCCAUGGAACGAGGGAGGAAGACGUAGAUGUGGUUCUUGAUCAGCCUCUCGAAACAUUUCAUGACUACCGAGGUGAGGGCCACCAGUCGUAGUCAUUCAAGCAAGCUGGAGAGGCAUUCUUAGGCACUGGUACAAUGGUGGAUCUUUUGAAUGUCUUCCAAAAAAAAAAAUUAGGGGACCAAAACAGCUCACAAUACUCCAGGUGUGGUCUCACUAGUGCCCUAUACAACUGCAGAAGGACCUCUUUGCUCCUAUACUAACCUCUUCUUGUUAUGAAGGCCAACAUGCCAUUCGCAUUCUUCACUGCCUGCUAUGCCUGAUUGUUUACUUUCAUUGACUGAUGAACAAGGACCCCCAGAUUCCGUUGUACUUCCCCUUUUCCCAACUUGACAUGAUAUAGAUAAUUAAACAAAUUAGCCUUAAUGGUUGAUAAAGAAUAGUGAAAGCCCUGGGGCCAUUAGCAUGAAAACAUACCUUUGGCUCACCAGUCUGUGCCAAUCUUCAAGCAUCCAUUUAUACUAAUUAUACACAAUUUUUUUUAAUUUUCCUUAAAUUGCCACCAGCUUGCCCCUGAAUUCUGCCACUCACCCACACACACGCUAGGGGCAAAUUACAAUUGCCAGUUGCUAAAUUACAGUCUUUGGGAUGUGGGAGGAAACCAGAGCACCCAGAGGAAGCCUGCGUGCUCACAGAAAGAAUGUUAAAACUGUGCACACACACAGCGUUGGAGGGCAGGAUUAACUUGGGUCAUUAAAGGUGUGAAGGCAGCAGCUCUACUAGCUGUGCCACUUUACUUACCACCCUUAGAUAAUAGUAACCAAUAUAUAGUACAUAUAAAUCUAUUAUUGGACGUGUACUUUUCUAUGUGGGGGAGGGGGGCAGGGUAAGGGGGAAACAGUCUCCCAGUCUCUUCCUGGCGGGGACGCGAAUAUUUCUCCGAGUCGCGUCCUCGCCCCCCCACCUCGCGGCCUACCAGCUAGAUCGGAGCGGCCUUUCCUGCCGGGGAACAGGAACCGGACCAGGGCUGCUACAGCGGCGGCGCAGCGCUGGAGUCACCGCGGAGCGGGCGAUGCCUACCUGGGUCGCUGUUUGCAGCUCCGGAGCAUUGGGCCGUUGCUCCAACAUCGUGGAGCUCUGGUGCAGAGAGCUUCCAACGCGGGCGGCGCUGAACAACAUCGUGGAGUCCUGGGGCACCUUGCAGAGGGCCUACAGCAGCAGUAUCCACCCGGUGCAGCCUGCGAAUAUUGGAAGCCGCCGACUCCGGUAGGAGGGGGCCGACUCUGGUGUCCACGCGGCUGAGGACGUCCCGCAGCCCCAACGUCGGACUUGUAUCACCCCGGCGAGCGGUCCUGGACAUCGGGCCGCCCGUAGCUGCAACUGCGGAGGGCUUGGGGAGGCCCUGACCACGGAGAACAGUGGAGGAAGAGACUGACUUUGGUGCCUUCCCACACAGUGGGAAACUUUGAUUCUGCUGUGUGGGGAUGUUUUGUGUUAAAUUCUAUAGUGUGUUGAGUCCUGUUUAUUUUUAUUGUAUGGCUGUAUGGGAAUUCAUUUCACUGUGCCAUCUGGCACAUGUGACAAUUAAAUCUAUCUUGAAUCUUGAAG